AGAGUUUGAUCAUGGCUCAGAUUGAACGCUGGCGGUAUGCUUAAGACAUGCAAGUCGAACGGCAAGGCACUUCGGUGCCCUAGAGUGGCGGACGGGUGAGUAACACGUGGGAAUCUACCUGUUAGUGGGGGACAGCCCAGCGAAAGCUGGAUUAAUACCGCAUACGCCCUACGGGGGAAAGCAGCAAUGCGCUAACAGAUGAGCCCGCGUAAGAUUAGCUAGUUGGUAAGGUAAAGGCUUACCAAGGCGACGAUCUUUAGCUGGUCUGAGAGGAUGGCCAGCCACAUCGGGACUGAGACACGGCCCGGACUCCUACGGGAGGCAGCAGUCGGGAAUAUUGGACAAUGGGCGCAAGCCUGAUCCAGCAAUACCGCGUGUG
rnacentral:rRNA from 1 species